ensembl:lncRNA
CUUUCUUUUGCUCCGUUCUGCGAUCCAUGGUGAAAACCAAACAAAGACUGACUAAGGUCUGACUAAAUGACAGAACUUUCUCGAACUUCCGCUCGUUGUUGGUAAAGUCCCUAAUGGAGGUACGUUUUCCACCACGUUACCUGAUUUGCCCUCACCACAGGUGAGACCGGGUGUUGUGAAUUUCAGCCAAUCAGAAACAUAAAGAGGUGGAGUUUAAUGCAGACAGGGACCAAUCAGGUAGCACGUUCCAGUACCUAUACGUGAGCUUUGGCACAACACCGUCACAGAAGCUAAACACUAUCGAAGGAUGCGCCAUUUUCUGUUGGUUCUCCUCAUCUCAAGUGCCGUGAGCGACAUGACAGUGGUUGUAAAAAGGGGGGGGAAUGUCACCCUAUCAGUCAAAACGCCUGAAAUGGUGGAUGUCAACCGAGUGACGCUGCUGACACUUUACGAAAACGGCACACAAGUUCCCAUCUUCCGCUACUGUUCUAUCAAAGAGAAGAAAAGGGGGUGCCCCGCCAUCGGCAACGACAGAUUCUCACUCCAGCUUAGACGAGAGAAUGCUUCUGUAAUCAUUCUUGAUGCCUGUGCCGCUGACUCAGGAGCACACAUUGUGGAAGUGAUCGGGAACUACACGAUCAAGGAAACGUUCAACGUUGUAUUCACCGAGUCUUCUGGUGACCCGUCCUUCAAAAUCAGCCCACCACAAGACUUCAACACAGUUGUCAUCAUAGGAGUCUUCGCAGUGUUAAUCAUAGUGGUCACUGUUGUCAGCGUAUACUUCUAUAAAAAGAAAAACUGGAAGAAAUUUGAUUUCCUUGACUGCACAGUGGAUUCAGAAGUGGCGGACAGUCGAUCAAGCAUCACUGGAGCAGAUGAAUGUGACACAGACGCAUCCUCUGAGGAACACUGCUUGGUAGAGAAGGAACCAGAAGAACUUGACAGCACCCAUCCAGAUGCACUUAAAUUAAUCAAUAAUAAUAAUAAUGAUGAUGAUAAUAAUAAUGAUAAUAAAGAUGUUGUUAUAUAUAUAAAUAAACAAUUGUUAUUUAUAUGAAAGUUUGAUGUAG